GCAUGUUUAUUUCGUUCAUGCAUGUAGUCUAGAUUGUCUAGGGCAUUGUAGGCAGGUGAACCUUUCCUUGAGCGUGCACAAGGCGAGAUGCCGAGCCGGUCGUGCGACGUGGCCGGAGCGCAAGGCGUGAAGCCAUGCAACAAUGUCAUGUGAUACGACACGUACGAGGAGGUGGAGGACAACCUGCGAACCAGUCCUGGAGUUGGUAGUCAAGUAGCCAAAUGGAUCAGGAUUAGUAGUUGAUGCAUGCACGUUUUGUUGGCCGGGUUAUGAGGCUGUUGUGAGGACGUUGCGCAAGGGCCAAGCAUUGGCGUGCAUGCAGUUAGUGGGUGCAUGGAUUAGUCGCAUUAGUUGCCGAGUAUGGUGGUUGGGCUGUGUGUGUGCCUGUUCUAUUUAACUUGUAAUCAUGUUUGCUUCCAGUAGAGAAAUAUAGAGAGAAGAAAAGACGUCUGGCUGUGUGAAACAACACGUCACCAAGUUUCCUGUGUCUCCAUCGUCUUGUGUGUGUGUUGUGAGAAGCAACCAAGGGAGAAGGUGAGGCACUAAGAGAGUCAACUCCAACAAUUGGUAUCAGCGCCAGGUGAUGAUGAAGACGAUGCCGCGUGAUUCUUCAGCGAGUGGAGCGUUGGUGCUGAGCGACUCGGCGGCAAUGGCGGCUGCCGCAGCGGCGGCGACGGCAGCGGCGUGGAAGCUCCCGUUCCCGCUGCUCACGAGGAUGAACUACGCGGCGUGGGCGAUGAGGAUGAAGUACCUCUUGUGCGCCAAUGGCGCGUGGGGGGUCGUUGAUCGCGAGGCGUCGGCCUCGGAGGUCGACAAGGGCAAGGAGGAGAUGGCCAUGAUGAUCAUCUCCCAGUCGAUCUACAACACGACGCUGCUGCGCGUUGCGGAGAAGGAGACCGCCGUCGAUGUGUGGGCGGCGCUACGCUCCAUGCACGUUGGCAUCGAGCGCGUCCGAGAGGCGAGGAUUCAAUCCUUGCGCUCGGAAUUUGAUGGCCUCAAGAUGGGUGAUGCGGAGUCCGUGGAUGAUUUCGCGGCGAGGUUCACGACGCUCGUGGGCUGCCUCCGUGAGCUUGGUGAUGCGAUGGAGGAGAAGUAUGUCAUGAAGAAGCUACUCCGAGCCGUCUCCAACAAGUUCAUCCACGUUGCGUCAUCGAUUGCGUUGUUUGGCGACACCAACAAGACGGCCAUGGAGGAGGCCAUUGGUUCACUCAAGGCGCACGAGGAGCUCGUCAAGGGGCGGGAGAUGACACAUGAAGAAGAGGGCAUGACUCAUCAUGGCGAGAGGGCAUGACUCAUCAUGAGGACGCGACCAUGGUGGACGCGGCCGUGGCCGCGGACAUGGCCGCGGUUGAGGGCGCAGAGACAAGAGCGAGGUACAGUGCCAUAACUGUGAUGACUUUGGGAACUUUGCUUGGGAGUGUCCGGAGAAGAAGAAGGACAACGAGGAGAAGGCACUGCUCGGUGUCGAGGACGAGCCGGCUCUUCUCUGAAACUGCGUCACAAGUGAAGGAUCAAGAUUAAGCAGGAGAAUGUUAACUUUUUAAUCUUGAUGAUGUAUCUGCAUGUUUAUUUCGUUCAUGCAUGUAGUCUAGAUUGUCUAGGGCAUUGUAGGCAGGUGAACCUUUCCUUGAGCGUGCACGAGGCGAGAUGCCAAGCCGGUCAUGCGACGUGGCCGGAGCGCAAGGCGUGAAGCCAUGCAACAAUGUCGUGUGAUACGACACGUACGAGGAGGUGGAGGACAACCUGCGAACCAGUCCUGGAGUUGGUAGUCAAGUAGCCAAAUGGAUCGGGAUUAGUAGUUGAUGCAUGCACUUUUUAUUGGCCGGGUUAUGAGGCCGUUGUAAGGACCUUGCGCAAGGGCCAAGCAUUGGCAUGCAUGAAGUUAGUGGGUGCAUGGGUUAGUCGUGUUAGUUGCCGAGUAUGGUGGCUGGGCUGUGUGUGUGCCUGUUCUAUUUAACUUGUAAUCAUGUUUGCUUCCAGUGGAGAAAUAUAGAGAGAAGAAAAGGCGUCUGGCUGUGUGAAACAACAC
rnacentral:lncRNA from 1 species